AUUGAACGCUGGCGGCAUGCCUUACACAUGCAAGUCGAACGGCAGCACGGGUGCUUGCACCUGGUGGCGAGUGGCGAACGGGUGAGUAAUACAUCGGAACAUGUCCUGUAGUGGGGGAUAGCCCGGCGAAAGCCGGAUUAAUACCGCAUACGAUCUACGGAUGAAAGCGGGGGACCUUCGGGCCUCGCGCUAUAGGGUUGGCCGAUGGCUGAUUAGCUAGUUGGUGGGGUAAAGGCCUGCCAAGGCGACGAUCAGUAGCUGGUCUGAGAGGACGACCAGCCACACUGGGACUGAGACACGGCCCAGACUCCUACGGGAGGCAGCAGUGGGGAAUCUUGGACAAUGGGCGAAAGCCUGAUCCAGCAAUGCCGCGUGUGUGAAGAAGGCCUUCGGGUUGUAAAGCACUUUUGUCCGGAAAGAAAUCCUUGGCCCUAAUACGGUCGGGGGAUGACGGUACCGGAAGAAUAAGCACCGGCUAACUACGUG
rnacentral:rRNA from 1 species